UACGUAGGAGGCAAGCGUUUGUCCGGAAUUACUGGGCGUAAAGCGCGUGUAGGUGGUGGGACAAGUCUGCUGUGAAAGCGCCUGGCUUAACCGGGCGAGGUCGGCGGAAACUGCCUCACUUGAGGACGGUAGAGGGGGGUGGAAUUCCCGGUGUAGUGGUGAAAUGCGUAGAGAUCGGGAGGAACACCUGUGGCGAAGGCGGCCCCCUGGGCCGGCCCUGACACUGAGACGCGAAGGCGUGGGGAGCGAACGGG
rnacentral:rRNA from 1 species